rnacentral:lncRNA from 1 species
AUUUUAUCAUCCCAGUGACAUUAAUUUGCUAGAUCCGCCCCUCUCUGAAAGACUCCUGACAAGAGGACUGCACGGCAAGCUCCUGCGCUCUCUGCCUCACCAUCGAGUUUCUCAGAUAUUUUGAUGUUGGCUCAGAAGUGCCUUUCUUCUGCUGUUUUUGUUUCUCAGCAUGAACUUUAUGGUCCCCAGAGGUAGAUUCAGAGUUUAAAGGAACUGGUUUUUCAUUACUGUAAACUGCUUUAGGAACCCUGAUGAAGCACUCUCUCCAUCAGAUGCAUUUGUUACACGCCAGCUUGAAGGUAUCUUACGUCCAGUGGAAAUACCUGAUCUUGCAUAAACCUGUCCUGGACACGUCUGCCUCCACCAAGGCUACAGGCAGUGCCUGCUAAGAGUGUCGUAUUUGGUGAAACAACUGGAGAGGAGGUGAUGACUGCUACUCUUUGAGCAAGGAAAGCAUCUUCCUUCCUGUAUCCCCCGAUUCAGAUGUGUGAUGGUGCUCCCUCCUUUGGUGCACAGCAUUGUCACC